rnacentral:rRNA from 1 species
CCCUUAGAUGUUCUGGGCCGCACGCGUGCUACACUGACCGGCGCAACAAGUUUCUUUCCUUGGCUCGAUAGGCCUGGGUAAUCUUUGAACGCCGGUCGUGAUGGGGAUAGAUCCUUGCAAUUUUUGAUCUUCAACGAGGAAUUCCUAGUAAAUGCGAGUCAUCAUCUCGCGUUGAUUACGUCCCUGCCCUUUGUACACACCGCCCGUCGCACCUACCGAUUGAAUGGUCCGGUGAAGCCUCGGGAUUGCGAAUGCUUCGUGCGGACGCGAGAACUUGGCUAAACCUUACCAUUUAGAGGAAAGUGAAGUCGUAACA